rnacentral:lncRNA from 1 species
ACGGUGAACAGCAUGGAGCACUUGCUGCAUGUCUGGCCAUCUCAGGGACAGAUGUCACAUUUGUUGCUGUAGCUGGACUUUAUGUUCUAUUCCGUUGGUCUGCCUAUCUAAAAAGCAAAAUUUCAAAUACUGACACCGAUAGAUGAAGAUGCUUUCGCUUCUUCCCUGUUUCAUCCAGUUGGGGGCUAAGUGUCCUUCGGUUUGGACUGUGCAGCUCGGGUCACCUUCUCUCUGUGGAACAGCAAGUGAAGAAAGAGGCGCAGAGCCCUGUGUUCCAAACCAUGGAGACAAUUGAGAAAGUGGGAACCCAUUAUUCCCCAAGCCCAGCCAGCAAACCUCACCGAUGAAACAGAUAAGCACUUCCUGCAGGUAGGGCUGACACUGGCCAGGACACAGCCCUCUCUCUCACAGCCGUGUUCCAGGUUGUUUGUGCACAAAAUUUCACAAAGGUCAGAGCUCGUCUCUCCAAACAGAUGAGCUUUGCGGUUAACCUGAAUUCACUGAACUAGGAUUUAUUAUUAUUAUUCUAUUUUACCUCUAACAGAAGUUUAAGGUCCGUGUAAGUUUCGUUCCUCUCUCUGAUUGUAGGGGAGACGCCCAGAGCGCCGUUUGGAGGAAAGAACCUGGCGUCCUUUCCUUACCUUCAUUUCAGGUACCC